CGCCGCGGUAAUUCCAGCUCCAAUAGCGUAUAUUAAAGUUGUUGCAGUUAAAAAGCUCGUAGUUGAAUUUCGGGAUCAAUUUGCUGGUCGUGCCUUCGGUACGCACUGGUAUUAUUGGUUUCUCCUUUCUGAUGAAUCGCGAUGUCAUUAAUUUGGUGUCGUGGGGAAUCAGGACCGUUACUUUGAAAAAAUUAGAGUGUUUAAAGCAGGCUCACGCUUGAAUACAUUAGCAUGGAAUAAUGAAAUAGGACGUUUGAUUCUAUUUUGUUGGUUUCUAGGAUCGACGUAAUGAUUAAUAGGGAUAGUUGGGGGCAUUAGUAUUCAAUUGUCAGAGGUGAAAUUCUUGGAUUUAUUGAAGACUAACUACUGCGAAAGCAUUUGCCAAGGAUGUUUUCAUUAAUCAAGAACGAAAGUUAGGGGAUCGAAGACGAUCAGAUACCGUCGUAGUCUUAACCAUAAACUAUGCCGACUAGGGAUCGGAUGAUGUUAAUUUUUUAAUGACUCAUUCGGCGCCUUACG
rnacentral:misc_RNA from 1 species